GAUUUGUUUACGGAUUCCCCAUCAUUUAUCUAAUAAAUGAAAAGUUCCACCCACUGAAACUAUAUUAGAAUACAAAAAUUUAAUUUGUUGAUUUGUUUGAUUUCUAAUUCUUAGUUUUCUCCUGGUUUUCAGCUACAUGUAUUAUGCCUGGAAUCAAAGGAUAACGCGAGUCCUAUUUCAGGUGGGUACGUUAGAUGAUAGCCAAAAAAAAACUCAGAAAUGAUGUUGUUUUUAUUUGCUACUCUUGAAAAAGAUGAUGAAAAUUGUCACCUUAGUAACUGAUCUGGAAGGAAAUAAAAAAAAUAUUGCUAUACAAUACUUUUUUAACCAAUGUAUUUAAUAUUUUCAAUUAAAUUCCCCCAUUUAGCGCCAAAAACGUGUGCGCAUUUCUGAAGACGUUUAUCAUCUACAUUUAUGUUUUACUUUCAAGUGAGUAAAAGAUUUUUAUUUUAUACUUGUACAAUUGAUAUUUAUAUGAUGAAACAAUUACCCAGCUCGCUUCGAUAUUCCAUGAAGAGAACUGUUCCAAAUCCAACCAAAUUAUACUGCUGAUAUAAGGCUUUAACAAAUUAGUUUUUUGUUCAAUGUUUACUUUAUUAGAUUGCAACACAAUACUUUUUUCUUUUCAGAAAGAUGGUGGAGAAUAUUAAAUAUAUGAGUCUACAAUAUGCUAAGGAAGUCUCUCUGCUGAACUUAGAUCUAAUGAAUUUAUUGGAAGUUUAGAGAGGUGUGUAUGCUAUGCAUGUGGUGAGACAACUACCAGUAAUAUUUGAGCAGGCUACAUAGAAACUUAUUUUUUGUUUAGAGAAUUUAACAAAUGAAUAUCGUAAUAUCUUCGUUCUGAUUUUCCGAUACAAAAGAAUUGAUAAUUGAUAGCAUGAUGAUUUGUUUACGGAUUCCCCAUCAUUUAUCUAAUAAAUGAAAAGUUCCACCCACUGAAACUAUAUUAGAAUACAAAAAUUUAAUUUGUUGAUUUGUUUGAUUUCUAAUUCUUAGUUUUCUUCUGGUUUUCAGCUACAUGUAUUAUGCCUGGAAUCAAAGGAUAACGCGAGUCCUAUUUCAGGUGGGUACGUAAGAUGAUAGCCAAAAAAAAACUCAGAAAUGAUGUUUUUUUUAUUUGCUACUCUUGAAAAAGAUGAUGAAAAUUGUCACCUUAGUAACUGAUCUGGAAGGAAAUAAAAAAAAUAUUGCUAUACAAUACUUUUUUAACCAAUGUAUUUAAUAUUUUCAAUUAAAUUCCCCCAUUUAGCGCCAAAAACGUGUGUCGCAUUUCUGAAGACGUUUAUCAUCUACAUUUAUGUUUUACUUUCAAGUGAGUAAAAGAUUUUUAUUUUAUACUUGUACAAUUGAUAUUUAUAUGAUGAAACAAUUACCCAGCUCGCUUCGAUAUUCCAUGAAGAGAACUGUUCCAAAUCCAACCAAAUUAUACUGCUGAUAUAAGGC
rnacentral:lncRNA from 1 species